AGAUUAUGAAGUAAAAUAAUUUACAAUUAGUUUCGACCUAAUUUUAGGAUUAAUAAUCCCUUAUCUG
rnacentral:tRNA from 1 species